AAUUAGAUAAUCAAAAUUUUCUAUCGACUCUCUAUUGCGUCUCUCUUGUGCAACACUAUCUUUUCUAGGGUUUAAUCAAAAACUCUCUCAUUUUCUCAAACAAAUCGCUCUAAAAAUCUCUCUCUCUCAAGUAAAACUCUCACUGAUGUCUCUAUUUUUAUUAUCCUUGUUCUCACUCGCAAUAAUUUUGUACUCUCUAACCUGGAUUUACCUUUUGUUUUGUUUUAGAUGCGUUGAUUUUUACAUGAAUUCUCUCGCAAGUAAUGGACACUGGCAUAACAUAUCACUAACUUAAAGAAGAGUUGUCUUGUGCAACUUGUUUGGAGAUUUGCUUUGAACCUUGCACCACUUCUUGUGGACCAAGUUUCCGUAAGAAAUGCUUAAGAUCUGCCACUAAUAAAUGCGGGAAGAAAUGUCCAAAAUGCAAACAACUAAUAAGCAAUGGAAGAUCUUGCGCUGUGAAUACGGCUCUUUGGAAUACAAUGCGACUUUUGUUUCCGUAAGAAGUUGAGGCAAGGAAGGCGGUCACCAGCUGUAGAGCGCAAAACGCCCUUAUACAGUUUCAAGGAUCAAGCAGAAAUGAGUCUGCAAGGAGAAGCGGUCUACGUAGUCAAGACGAUCAUUCUGCAUCAGCUGUUUCUGUUACUAUUUAAAGAGUCAUUUACAGAAGUACAGGCUGGGUAAGAAUCAGCUUCUGCAAUCAGAAUCACAAUUUCAAUCACAAGGCAGCAUUGAGAAUAAGCAAGAAGGUACGUGAUUUGAUUAUUGGGAAACGGAAAGAAAGAUAAACAAAGAGAACCGGGAGCUUCUCAGGUCGAAAUUAAAGCUUUGAAAACCAUAGAAGUUACAAAGGAUGAGGCUCUUGAAGAGGUAUUGGAAAACCAUAAACAAGAUAUUAGCUGCUCUGAUGCUAGAAGGAGAUGGAGAACUUUUCAGUAAGAGGUAAAACCUAGAUAGAGGACUUGCACUGUUGUGGCACUAGUUGCUUAUACAACAAGGUGACUAAAUAUUUAAUGCGAUCUCUUGAUGAUUUUAUAAUGGCCUAAAACAUAGUGGAUGUAGGAGGAAAUAUAUUAUACAUGUGAUUAUAGUUGGCAAGUUGAAGAUAAUUUGAUGAUGGGUUGUACAGAAUGUUGAAUAUUUGAUUAGUUGGAUUGUGCUAAUUGCAGUGUCAUGUAAUUGCAAGUAUGCGGAUAUAUACAACUCUAAGGUCUUGAAUUUCCUAAACUAUACACCAUUCAUGUACCUCAAUUCGCAGGAAGAGACGUUGGCUCAAUUUUGAGCGACAGAUCCUCUAGUUAAGUACCCGUUCUUUGUACACAUUUAUCUUAUUAUGUAUUAUGUUUGCAUAUUUUGAGUAUCAUUGUAUGUGGUUUUGCAGGGUUUCAUGAAGAUAUUUGUGGAAAAUGAUUACGUAGCAGAAAAGGCGCUCAAUGUUUAGAAGUAUA